UUUAAUUUCAAUCGAAUGACUUUUGGGAUUUUGGUCCACCAUAUUGGAUCCGCCAUUUUGAAUUUUCAAAUGUUGAGUUCAGAUGCGUAGUCAGCGACCCAAGAAACCUCCCGUAAACAAAAUUUUAUCGAAAUCAGUUCGGCAGAUUG